UACGGAGGGUGCAAGCGUUGUCCGGAAUCACUGGGCGUAAAGGGCGCGUAGGCGGCUCAUGAAGGCUGUGGUGAAAGUCCGGGGCUCAACCUCGGAUCGGCCGUGGCGACUCGUGGGCUGGAGCACUGUAGAGGCGGGUGGAGUUCCGGGUGUAGCGGUGGAAUGCGUAGAGAUCCGGAAGAACACCAGUGGCGAAGGCGGCCCGCUGGGCAGUGGCUGACGCUGAGGCGCGACAGCGUGGGGAGCAAACAGG
rnacentral:rRNA from 1 species